rnacentral:rRNA from 1 species
AUUGAACGCUGGCGGCAUGCUCUACACAUGCAAGUCGAACGGUAACAGGUUAAGCUGACGAGUGGCGAACGGGUGAGUAAUGCAUCGGAACGUGCCCGGUCGUGGGGGAUAACGCAGCGAAAGCUGCGCUAAUACCGCAUACGAUCUGAGGAUGAAAGCGGGGGACCGUAAGGCCUCGCGCGAUCGGAGCGGCCGAUGACAGAUUAGGUAGUUGGUGGGGUAAAGGCUCACCAAGCCAACGAUCUGUAGCUGGUCUGAGAGGACGACCAGCCACACUGGGACUGAGACACGGCCCAGACUCCUACGGGAGGCAGCAGUGGGGAAUUUUGGACAAUGGGCGAAAGCCUGAUCCAGCAAUGCCGCGUGCAGGAAGAAGGCCUUCGGGUUGUAAACUGCUUUCGUACGGAGCGAAAAGGUCUCCUCUAAUACAGGGGGCUCAUGACGGUACCGUAAGAAUAAGCACCGGCUAACUACGUGCCAGCAGCCGCCGCGG